rnacentral:rRNA from 1 species
UACGUAGGGAGCGAGCGUUGUCCGGAUUUACUGGGUGUAAAGGGUGCGUAGGCGGCUAUGCAAGUCAGUAGUGAAAUCCAUGGGCUUAACCCAUGAACUGCUAUUGAAACUGCACAGCUUGAGUGAAGUAGAGGUAGGCGGAAUUCCCGGUGUAGCGGUGAAAUGCGUAGAUAUAUGGAAGAACACCAGUGGCGAAAGCGGCUCUCUGGGCCGUUACUGACGCUGAGGAGCGAAAGCGUGGGGAGCGAACAGG